rnacentral:rRNA from 1 species
AUUGAACGCUGGCGGCAUGCUUUACACAUGCAAGUCGAACGGCAGCGCGGGCCUCGGCCUGGCGGCGAGUGGCGAACGGGUGAGUAAUACAUCGGAACGUGCCCAGUAGUGGGGGAUAGCUCGGCGAAAGCCGGAUUAAUACCGCAUACGACCUGAGGGUGAAAGCGGGGGAUCUUCGGACCUCGCGCUAUUGGAGCGGCCGAUGGCAGAUUAGCUAGUUGGUGGGGUAAAGGCCUACCAAGGCGACGAUCUGUAGCUGGUCUGAGAGGACGACCAGCCACACUGGGACUGAGGCACGGCCCAGACUCCUACGGGAGGCAGCAGUGGGGAAUUUUGGACAAUGGGCGAAAGCCUGAUCCAGCAAUGCCGCGUGUGUGAUGAAGGCCUUCGGGUUGUAAAGCACUUUUGGCGGGAACGAAAAGGACUGUGCCAAUACCACGGUUCGAUGACGGUACCCGCAGAAUAAGCACCGGCUAACUACGUG